AGCGAUAUGUCCCAAUGAGAUCAGCUAUUGACCACCCUAACACAUUCAUAAUUAUAUAUCCCAGCUGUUCCUGAGAGCCUGCAAUGGGAGAAGUUUUGGGAGUUGGCUAGGGGACUAAAUUAGCCUUCCAAGAUGAAAACUGAGAGAGCCUACACCAGAUUCUGGAAAGGUAUUUCAGCAUGGCCUCUGCAGCUUCCUUCUCUUCUUUAGCCUGGUGCCGGAAAAACUUUGAAAAGUUUGGUAGAGCCA